rnacentral:misc_RNA from 1 species
ACCAUACAAAAUUACAUCAAGGUGCUUAUUAAUCAAACAAACAUAAAUAAUCUGUUAAGCUGCUUAAUUCAUAUUUUUAAAGACUUCGAUUGAGUUAAUAGUUGAAUGUGGAAAAUAAGCUGAAAAAUAUAUCCAAUCAAGAACCCAGUAAUCGAGUAGAUUGAUCUUACAUAAAAUUAACUAUUUGAGAGAAAUUUUCCUUUUAGAAAAGGGCCAAACAAUUAGUACACAUAAACAGAAGUAG